rnacentral:rRNA from 1 species
UGGGGAAUAUUGCACAAUGGGCGCAAGCCUGAUGCAGCCAUGCCGCGUGUGUGAAGAAGGCCUUCGGGUUGUAAAGCACUUUCAGCGAGGAGGAAGGUGGUGGACUUAAUACGUUCAUCAAUUGACGUUACUCGCAGAAGAAGCACCGGCUAACUCCGUGCCAGCAGCCGCGGUAAUACGGAGGGUGCAAGCGUUAAUCGGAAUUACUGGGCGUAAAGCGCACGCAGGCGGUUUGUUAAGUCAGAUGUGAAAUCCCCGGGCUCAACCUGGGAACUGCAUUUGAAACUGGCAAGCUAGAGUCUCGUAGAGGGGGGUAGAAUUCCAGGUGUAGCGGUGAAAUGCGUAGAGAUCUGGAGGAAUACCGGUGGCGAAGGCGGCCCCCUGGANGAAGACUGACGCUCAGGUGCGAAAGCGUGGGGAGCAAACAGAUUAGAUACCCUGGUAGUCCACGCUGUAAACGAUGUCGAUUUUGGAGGUUGUG